AACACGUGAGCAACCUGCCCCUGACUCUGGGAUAAGCGCUGGAAACGGCGUCUAAUACUGGAUACGAGACGUGACCGCAUGGUCAACGUUUGGAAAGAUUUUUCGGUUGGGGAUGGGCUCGCGGCCUAUCAGCUUGUUGGUGAGGUAAUGGCUCACCAAGGCGUCGACGGGUAGCCGGCCUGAGAGGGUGACCGGCCACACUGGGACUGAGACACGGCCCAGACUCCUACGGGAGGCAGCAGUGGGGAAUAUUGCACAAUGGGCGGAAGCCUGAUGCAGCAACGCCGCGUGAGGGAUGACGGCCUUCGGGUUGUAAACCUCUUUUAGCAGGGAAGAAGCGAAAGUGACGGUACCUGCAGAAAAAGCGCCGGCUAACUACGUGCCAGCAGCCGCGGUAAUACGUAGGGCGCAAGCGUUAUCCGGAAUUAUUGGGCGUAAAGAGCUCGUAGGCGGUUUGUCGCGUCUGCUGUGAAAUCUGGGGGCUCAACCCCCAGCCUGCAGUGGGUACGGGCAGACUAGAGUGCGGUAGGGGAGAUUGGAAUUCCUGGUGUAGCGGUGGAAUGCGCAGAUAUCAGGAGGAACACCGAUGGCGAAGGCAGAUCUCUGGGCCGUAACUGACGCUGAGGAGCGAAAGGGUGGGGAGCAAACAGGCUUAGAUACCCUGGUAGUCCACCCCGUAAACGUUGGGAACUAGUUGUGGGGUCCAUUCCACGGAUUCCGUGACGCAGCUAACGCAUUAAGUUCCCCGCCUGGGGAGUACGGCCGCAAGGCUAAAACUCAAAGGAAUUGACGGGGACCCGCACAAGCGGCGGAGCAUGCGGAUUAAUUCGAUGCAACGCGAAGAACCUUACCAAGGCUUGACAUAUACGAGAACGGGCCAGAAAUGGUCAACUCUUUGGACACUCGUAAACAGGUGGUGCAUGGUUGUCGUCAGCUCGUGUCGUGAGAUGUUGGGUUAAGUCCCGCAACGAGCGCAACCCUCGUUCUAUGUUGCCAGCACGUAAUGGUGGGAACUCAUGGGAUACUGCCGGGGUCAACUCGGAGGAAGGUGGGGAUGACGUCAAAUCAUCAUGCCCCUUAUGUCUUGGGCUUCACGCAUGCUACAAUGGCCGGUACAAAGGGCUGCAAUACCGCGAGGUGGAGCGAAUCCCAAAAAGCCGGUCCCAGUUCGGAUUGAGGUCUGCAACUCGACCUCAUGAAGUCGGAGUCGCUAGUAAUCGCAGAUCAGCAACGCUGCGGUGAAUACGUUCCCGGGUCUUGUACACACCGCCCGUCAAGUCAUGAAAGUCGGUAACACC
rnacentral:rRNA from 1 species